AUUGAACGCUGGCGGCAUGCCUUACACAUGCAAGUCGAACGGCAGCACGGGGCAACCUGGUGGCGAGUGGCGAACGGGUGAGUAAUGCAUCGGAACGUGCCAUUGAGUGGGGGAUAACGUAGCGAAAGUUGCGCUAAUACCGCAUAUUCUGUGAGCAGGAAAGCAGGGGACCGCAAGGCCUUGCGCUCUUUGAGCGGCCGAUGUCAGAUUAGCUAGUUGGUGAGGUAAAGGCUUACCAAGGCGACGAUCUGUAGCGGGUCUGAGAGGAUGAUCCGCCACACUGGAACUGAGACACGGUCCAGACUCCUACGGGAGGCAGCAGUGGGGAAUUUUGGACAAUGGGCGCAAGCCUGAUCCAGCCAUGCCGCGUGAGUGAAGAAGGC
rnacentral:rRNA from 1 species